GAUGGAGAAUAACCCGUGGCUGGAGGAACAUUGAAAAAUGGAUAAGAUAAUACAACAAAAGGAUGAUCAAAUUAUGAAGCUGCAGGCCCAGUUAUUGGAACAACACAAAAUAUUAGAUAACAACAAAGCUAAGGAUCGUAGGCCUAAUACGUAAUGAUUCUAUUUAUUUGCUUUUAUUUAUUCGUGUUUUGUAGCUCAAAUUUUGAGUCUACAAGCUCAGCUAGAGGAAAAGAACAAAUUGGAACGGAACAGUUUCCAAACAGUGAAGGAGGUUUUUCAAAACUCAUCCCUAACUGAACGUGAGGAUGAGUUGGCAUUAGGCGAACACAGAUAGUUUAUUCAGCCCACCACCUGACAGUGUGUUAAAGUUAAAUUCUGUUAGUGCUGCACUAAAAGAAUUGUUAGUAAUAAGUCCAUGCAGCGAAGGAAGUGAAGAAUUGUGGGACCGUAUUUGGGCUGAAAACGGAAACCCAGAAAUAGCACGAGUUCAACAUAAAACAUGAAUUAGAAUUUUAAUGGGGGAUCAAGUCAAGUCUGGAAGUGUUACAGGAUGGAAGAGUGAGCCUACAGUUGAAAAACACUGAAAGUGCAUUACCAUUAAGGUAUGAGGUAAAGUAAUAGAGUAUGCAAAUUGUCUAAUGAGAAGUACCAUCUUAUGUGAAUGAAUCCUGUGUAACAGCAAUCCUUUAUAGUUCUGUCACAGCUAGAAGCCUCAAAUAAUUCUGCUUCUCUUGCUAAAGAACAAGAUGUCCUUUACUUUCAGAGUGUUGGUGAAGCUGGGUACUUAAAUUGCCCUAAAGAUGUUUCAUUUCUUUGGCAUUGCAGCGAUGAACAUCAUACAUGGACUUUUUAGGAAAAUUUUCAGCAUACUGGGAACACAACUAUCAACAAUGCAACAUCCUAGGGGUGCUAUUUUAUCAUUCAAGAGCCUUAUACAAUGAUUUUCAUCUGCAAUUUGUAUGGCCUUUCCCAAGC